GUUAACGAGGUGCGAGCAGCCGGGGUGAAACGUAGGGGGCUAGGGUUGUCCGGAUGUAUUGGGCGUAAAGAGCGUGUAGGGGGCCAGGUAGUGAUGCUGGGUAAACUCGAGGCUCAACCUCGAGACGUCGGCGGAAACCAUCUGGCUAGAGUCCGGAAGAGGAGAGUGGAAUUCCUGGUGUAGCGGUGAAAUGCGCAGAUAUCAGGAAGAACACCCGUGGCGAAGGCGGCUCUCUGGGACGGUACUGACGCUGAGACGCGAAAGCGUGGGGAGCGAACAGGAUUAGAUACCCUUGUAGUC
rnacentral:rRNA from 1 species